CAAACACCACUCUGAAUUACAACUAUAGUGUAAAUCUAACCGACACCAAUGUUAUUUACUGAAAGGUUGGUCUGAACCAGGCAGAAUUUAAGACCUCUCAAGGAAGAAACAGUAUCCUUCACUACUGAAGACCAAGCCAGUCAAGUGCCUAGCAUUCCCCUGCUACGCACAAGACCAUCAGGAACGCUGGAACAAUCACACAUCGGAAAACAGCACGAAGCAAAGCAAGGAGAUCACAUGCCGGCAGGACAGAAGCUGUCUGGAAAGUGCAAACCUUGCAUUUUCUCUUCUUGAACCACCAGGUGAGAAGAGGAGCAGACCCAUGAGGCUGAGAAAAUGUCAUCUCUGAGCCAGCUGACACACAGGCACGAGACCAAGCUCUUCCACUUGAAGCACAGACAUUAAGCCAGUUUUGACAUUUUUUUCUUUCCCAGGUUAAUACCCAUAAACAAGCCCACC